rnacentral:rRNA from 1 species
AUGCAAAUCCUUCGCGCAGGCCACCCGUCCAUCGGCUACAACUACUGCGUCAAGACCUUCCACGCCGACAGCGCGAGCGCCACCGCCGACGCGCGCGGCCUCGCCGCCAUCGCGGCAAAGAUCGCGGGGGCGACAGCCAACGGCACGGCCAGACGCAUCGCCGCAUUGUGCGCCUCGGAGGAGGACGCCGGGAGGCGGGAGCGCCUCGGCGUGUGCGCGGAGGUGUACUCGGACGCCGUGGACCAGCUCGGCGAGGCCGCGAAAGACAUCGCCCGGGGCGAGGACAAGUCCACCCGGGACGCGCUCACGCAGCUCAGCGCGGCGCUGGACGCGCCCGGGACCUGCGAGGACGCGUUCGGCGAGGCCGACGACGCGUCGCCGCUGGCCGCGGAGGACGCCGAGUUCAGGAAGCUGGCGACUAUCGCCCUCGGCGUCACGGCGUUGCUGUCACCGCCGCCGUCGGCGCCGGGGAUCAGUGACUGA